UACGUAGGGGGCUAGCGUUGUCCGGAUUUAUUGGGCGUAAAGAGCGUGUAGGCGGCCAGGUAGGUCUGCUGUGAAAACUCGAGGCUUAACCUCGAGAUGUCGGCGGAAACCAUCUGGCUAGAGUCCGGAAGAGGAGAGUGGAAUUCCUGGUGUAGCGGUGAAAUGCGCAGAUAUCAGGAAGAACACCCGUGGCGAAAGCGGCUCUCUGGAACGGUACUGACGCUGAGACGCGAUAGCGUGGGGAGCGAACAGA
rnacentral:rRNA from 1 species